UGGCACUGUUCAACAUUCCUGAUCCAGAAACUUCUGAGCAUCUUGUUGCCUCCAACACUUAUGGAAGGAAAGGGGGCUGGGCUCCACUCGGGGUGAAUCUUACUGUGCCGGCCCCCUGUGAACAGUGGCCCGGGAAUGGGCUACAUCACUAACCAUGGCUCCUGGGGUCUUAGGGAUUGUCAGAGAGCCCCCUCACGCUACCCAGCUGAGAGCUAAAGGACCUAAAGGCUUGUGAUAUCAGUGGCCUUUCCCAAAUUUGAAGGAGAUUCGAUUGACCCUCUGACUUUUCUCCGAAGGAUGGACAACCCCAGAUUCUUGGCCAUCUUGGGUAAAAGUGAAGAGAAACAUCAGGAAGGCUCCCCGAGGGAAACACAGACCUCCAUGAGAAUCUGAGCUACUAGCACAGCCCGUUGGGAGCCAGCACCUCACUUCUGUGUGAUCCCCCAUGAUGGAAGGUGAUGGGAGAGGCCCUCGCAUCAGGUUCAUGGACCCAGCCCAGCUGCAGCUCUCCUCAACAGCUCUCCUCACUUGGGUCCACAUUCCUGGUGCUAGAACCACAAACAGGCUUUUGUAACCCACCCCAGGGGCUUGCUUCCCAUAAAACAAUUUAUGCGCUUAGAUA